rnacentral:rRNA from 1 species
GAAUUUUGGACAAUGUUGGCAAUCCUGUUCCAGCCAUCUCGCGUGUGUGAAGAAGGCCUACGGUUUUUAAAGCAUUUAUAUCAGGGAAGAAAUGACUCUAGCUUAUACAUGUAGCUUCUGACGGUACUUGCAGAAUAAGAACCGGCAGACCACGUACCAGCACCCGCGGUAAUACGUAGGGUGCAAGCGUUAAUCGGAAUUACUGGGCGUAAAGCGUGCGCAGGCGGUUCGGCAAGAAGGAUGUGAAAUCCCAGGGCUUAACCUUGGAACUGCAUUCUUAACUGCCGGGCUAGAGUAUGUCAGAGGGGGGUAGAAUUCCGCGUGUAGCAGUGAAAUGCGUAGAGAUGCGGAGGAAUACAGAUGGCGAAGGCAGCCCCCUGGGAUAAUACUGACGCUCAUGCACGAAAGCGUGGGGAGCAAAC